rnacentral:rRNA from 1 species
GGCUACAGGACGAACGCUGGCGGCGUGCCUAAUACAUGCAAGUCGAACGGUCUCUUCUAUGGAAGCUUGCUUCCACUGAGAAGAUAGUGGCGAACGGGUGAGUAACACGUGGGUAACCUGCCCAUAAGAGGGGGGAUAACAUCCGGAAACGGGUGCUAAUACCGCAUAGUUUUCUUGAUCGCAUGAUUGGGAAAGGAAAGACGGCCUUUGUGCUGUCGCUUAUGGAUGGACCCGCGGCGUAUUAGUUAGUUGGUGAGGUAACGGCUCACCAAGACGAUGAUACGUAGCCGACCUGAGAGGGUGAUCGGCCACAUUGGGACUGAGACACGGCCCAAACUCCUACGGGAGGCAGCAGUAGGGAAUCUUCCGCAAUGGACGAAAGUCUGACGGAGCAACGCCGCGUGAGUGAAGAAAAGGUUUCCGGAUCGUAAAACUCUGUUGUCAGAGAAGAACAAGUUGGAGAGUAACUGCUCCAGCCUUGACGGUAUCUGACCAGAAAGCCACGGCUAACUACGUGCCAGCAGCCGC